AAGUCGUAACAAGGUUUCCGUAGGUGAACCUGCGGAAGGAUCAUUAUCGAGUCUUUGAAAGUGGGCUUGAUGCUGGCGCUCUCGGGCGCAUGUGCUCGGCCUGCCGCUCAUCCACUCCAACCCCUGUGCACGCUCGAAGUGCGUCGGUCCUCCGUCGUGGGAGCAGCUUCCUCGGAAGCCGGGAUCGCGCAUUUCGCUCUUUACUAUACCCCUUGCAUAUUGUCUUGUAGAAUGCAUAGCCUCUUGUUGGGCGAAAUAUAAAUACAACUUUCAACAACGGAUCUCUUGGCUCUC
rnacentral:misc_RNA from 1 species